GGUUCGAUUCCGGAGAAGGAGCUUGAGAAUUGGCUACUACAUCUAAGGAAGGCAGCAGGCGCGCAAAUUACCCAAUCCCGAUUCGGGGAGGUAGUGACAAAAAAUAACAAUACCGGGCCUUUUUGGGCUUGGUAAUUGGAAUGAGGGAGAGUUAAACGGACCAUCGAGUAUCCAUUGGAGGGCAAGUCUGGUGCCAGCAGCUGCGGUAAUACCAGCUCCAAUAGCGUAUAUUAAAGUUGUUGCAGUUAAAAAGCUCGUAGUUGGACUUGUGUGCGCUGUCCGCGGGUGGCCUGCGCCCAAAAGGGCGUUUCGGUUCGGCCCCGGUGGCGCCUUGAAAUCUGCAGCUGGGGGGACGUUGGCCUUAACUGGUCGGCGACCGCACGCCGGCUGCUCGGUUACCGUGAGAAAAUUAGAGUGUUCAAGGCAGGCAUUGGGUGCAAUUGAAUACAUUAGCAUGGAAUAAUAAAAUAUGGCUCCUGCCGUAUUUUGUUGGUUUUGACUGGUGGGAGUAAUGAUUGAUAGGGACGGUUGGGGGUGCUAGUAUUGAGCGGCCAGAGGUGAAAUUCAUGGAUUCGCUCAAGACUAACUUAUGCGAAAGCAUUCACCAAGGACGUCCUCUUUAAUCAAGAACGAAAGUUGGGGGAUCGAAGACGAUCAGAUACCGUCGUAGUCUCAACCAUAAACUAUGUCGACUUGGGAUCGGCGGUAGUUUUUUCAUUAAGACACUGUCGGGACCACGGGAGAAAUCAAAGUGUCUGGACUCUGGGGGAAGUAUGGUCGCAAGGCUGAAACUUGAAGGAAUUGACGGAAGGGCACCACCGGGAGUGGAGCCUGCGGCUUAAUUUGACCCAACACGGGGAAACUUACCAGGUCCAGAGAUGUAGAGGAUUGACAGAUUGAAGCUCUUUCUUGAUCACUUCGGUGGUGGUGCAUGGUCGUUCUUAGUUGGUGGAGUGAUUUGUCUGUUUAAUUCCGUUAACGAACGAGACCUCAGCCUGCUAGUGUAGUCGGCUGGACUGCCUUUGGCGAUCCGUGAUUUCGACUUCUUAGAGGGACAAUCGACGCGCAGUCGAUGGAAGUUUGAGGCAAUAACAGGUCUGUGAUGCCCUUAGAUGUUCUGGGCCGCACGCGCGCUACACUGCUGGGCUCAGCGAGUUUUACUUGGCCGAGAGGCCCGGUUAAUCUUGUGAAAUCCCAGCGUGCUUGGGCUCGCCUCCUGCAACUGGAGGCGCCAACGAGGAAUUCCUAGUAGACGCAGGUCAUCAACCUGCAUCGAUUACGUCCCUGCCCUUUGUACACACCGCCCGUCGUUCCAUAAGAGUGAGGCAUCCGGUGAAUUCUCGGGAGAGCCUGGGCGUGGCCAGCAAUGGUCUGCUCGGGUUUGAACUUGCAUAAACUUGGUGCCUAUGAUUAGGGAAAAGUCGUAACAAGGUU
rnacentral:rRNA from 1 species